rnacentral:pre_miRNA from 1 species
UAACUACUCCCUUCGUCUGAAAGUACUUAUUAUAGUAGUGGAUGUAUUUAGAUGUAUUUUUACUAUAAAUAUAUCCAUUUAUAUCCUUUUUUAUGCCAAGUAAUUCUGGACGAAGGGUGUACAUG